rnacentral:rRNA from 1 species
UAGGGAAUCUUCCGCAAUGGGCGAAAGCCUGACGGAGCAACGCCGCGUGAGUGAUGAAGGUCUUCGGAUCGUAAAACUCUGUUAUUAGGGAAGAACAAAUGUGUAAGUAACUAUGCACGCCUCGACGGUACCUAAUCAGAAAGCCACGGCUAACUACGUGCCAGCAGCCGCGGUAAUACGUAGGUGGCAAGCGUUAUCCGGAAUUAUUGGGCGUAAAGCGCGCGUAGGCGGUUUUUUAAGUCUGAUGUGAAAGCCCACGGCUCAACCGGGGAGGGUCAUUGGAAACUGGAAAACUUGAGUGGAGAAGAGGAAAGUGGAAUUCCAUGUGUAGCGGUGAAAUGCGCAGGGAUAUGGGGGACCACCGGUGGCGAAGGCGACUUUCUGGUCUGUAACUAACGCUGAUGUGCGAAAGGGUGGGGAUCAAACAGG